rnacentral:tRNA from 1 species
AGCAGCGCAGCUCAGUGGAAAGAGCCCGGGCUUGGGAGUCAGAGGUCAUGGGUUCGAAUCCCGUCUCUGCCA